CCUACGGGAGGCAGCAGUGGGGAAUAUUGCACAAUGGGGGAAACCCUGAUGCAGCGACGCCGCGUGAGUGAGGAAGUAUUUCGGUAUGUAAAGCUCUAUCAGCAGGGAAGAAAAUGACGGUACCUGACUAAGAAGCCCCGGCUAACUACGUGCCAGCAGCCGCGGUAAUACGUAGGGGGCAAGCGUUAUCCGGAUUUACUGGGUGUAAAGGGAGCGUAGACGGGAUAGCAAGUCUGAUGUGAAAACCCGGGGCUCAACUCCGGGAGUGCAUUGGAAACUGUUGAUCUAGAGUGUAGGAGAGGCAAGCGGAAUUCCUAGUGUAGCGGUGAAAUGCGUAGAUAUUAGGAGGAACACCAGUGGCGAAGGCGGCUUACUGGACGAUGACUGACGUUGAGGCUCGAAAGCGUGGGGAGCAAACAGGAUUAGAUACCCCUGUAGUC
rnacentral:rRNA from 1 species